rnacentral:lncRNA from 1 species
AGAACAACAGAGCUUGAGAGACAGAGUACAGAGGGCAGAGUCUGAGCCAGGAGAGGGUGCAAAGAUCAGUGGAGGCAAAUAUGCACCAACACAGACUCAUGUGGACAUAACAGAAACUGCAAUUAUGGAGAUACCUCUUUAUUUCUUCUAGUAGAUACAAGACUCGCACUGCAUCCGAGGAGAAGACCAGAAUGGACUGGUUUGGCUUCGAGCAACUGCAAUCAGUUGCCUCACAGAGGGUUUCCUUGAUGCUGAAUUUGCUGUUUGCAAAUGCCCAGAAAUCUGCUGCUGAAAGGAGGAACAUUAUCCCUUUGCUGUAUGGCUCAAGAAGUUCUUACAAGAAGGUCUGUGUAUUUGCCUCUGGCUGUCCAUAAAUACAGUGCUACUUCAGGCAGUGCAGUAGCCUGAGCAUAGCCCUGUGCAUUAAGAGGAACAUUUGCCUUAGUAUUUGGAAAUAAGUCAAAUCAUCUGCUAUCUGCAUUUCUUACAAAUACCACAGAUUCCUUACAUUUGUGCCUCCAUCAUUCCAAGCUGUUGCUUUGACUUGCUAAUAGGUCCCUGUUGUAAAAAAAAAAAAACAUGCGGUUUUUUUUUUUUUUUUUUUUUUUUUUUUUUUAAUGGAGCUAACACUCAGAUGUUACUUUGUGCCCAGAGAGACAGCAAGGACAUGGAGUCUGCUGGAUUCCAGGAGAAAAGGUCUGCAGGGCUCCUGGAGGGAAAAUUACCAGGCAGGUAUUUAUGAGAAAAGGUGAUCUGGUUGAAUUCAAGACUGUAUUACAAACUAUGUGCUUAUCUGGUGUCAGUUGUCAGUUUCAUUGAAUUAAUUGGAGCAAUGCUGAUUUAUAACUGAGGCUUUAGACAAUUCUACAUAAACAGCUCUAAUGAUGCC